rnacentral:rRNA from 1 species
UCCGGCGGUCUUAGCGGAGGGGCCACACCCGUUCCCAUUCCGAACACGGAAGUUAAGCCCUCCAGCGCCGAUGGUACUAGUGGGGAAACCAGCUGGGAGAGUAGGACGCCGCCGGAU